rnacentral:tRNA from 1 species
AGCAGUGUGGCCUAGUAGAAAGGGGAUGGGAUGAGGAGUCAGAAGACCUGGGUUCUAAUCCCAGCUCUGCUG